AAAGGUGGCCUCUUAACAAUGCUAUCACUUAUGGAUGGGCCCGCGUCUGAUUAGCUAGUUGGUAGAGUAACAGCCUACCAAGGCAACGAUCAGUAGCCGGCCUGAGAGGGUGGACGGCCACACUGGGACUGAGACACGGCCCAGACUCCUACGGGAGGCAGCAGUGGGGAAUAUUGCGCAAUGGGGGAAACCCUGACGCAGCGACGCCGCGUGAGCGAAGAAGGCCUUAGGGUUGUAAAGCUUUGUUUUAAGGGACGAAAGUAUGUGAGCGUAACUACUCAUGUAUUGACGGUACCUUAAGAGUAAGCCCCGGCUAACUACGUGCCAGCAGCCGCGGUAAGACGUAGGGGGCGAGCGUUGUCCGGAAUUACUGGGCGUAAAGGGCAUGCAGGCGGAAAUCUAAGUCAGGUGUGAAAGACCGGGGCUUAACCCCGGGGUUGCACUUGAAACUAGAUUUCUUGAGGGCAGGAGAGGAAAGCGGAAUUCCUGGUGUAGCGGUGAAAUGCGUAGAAAUCAGGAGGAACACCAGUGGCGAAGGCGGCUUUCUGGACUGACCCUGACGCUGAGAUGCGAAAGCGUGGGUAGCAAACAGGAUUAGAUACCCUGGUAGUCCACGCUGUAAACUAUGGAUACUAGGUGUGGGAGGUAUCGACCCCUUCUGUGCCGCAGCAAACGCAAUAAG
rnacentral:rRNA from 1 species